rnacentral:rRNA from 1 species
GAUCCUGGCUCAGGACGAACGCUGGCGGCGUGCUUAACACAUGCAAGUCGAGCGAUGAAGCUUCUUCGGAAGUGGAUUAGCGGCGGACGGGUGAGUAACACGUGGGUAACCUGCCUCAUAGAGGGGAAUAGCCUUCCGAAAGGAAGAUUAAUACCGCAUAAGAUUGUAAUAUCGCAUGAUAUAGCAAUUAAAGGAGUAAUCCGCUAUGAGAUGGACCCGCGUCGCAUUAGCUAGUUGGUGAGGUAACGGCUCACCAAGGCGACGAUGCGUAGCCGACCUGAGAGGGUGAUCGGCCACAUUGGGACUGAGACACGGCCCAGACUCCUACGGGAGGCAGCAGUGGGGAAUAUUGCACAAUGGGGGAAACCCUGAUGCCAGCAACGCCGCGUGAGUGAUGACGGCCUUCGGGUUGUAAAGCUCUGUCUUCAGGGACGAUAAUGACGGUACCUGAGGAGGAAGCCACGGCUAACUACGUGCCAGCCGCCGC